UACAGAGGUCUCAAGCGUUGUUCGGAUUCAUUGGGCGUAAAGGGCGCGUAGGCGGCGGGGUAAGUCGGGUGUGAAAUCUCAGAGCUCAACUCUGAAAUGGCACUUGAUACUGCUCUGCUAGAGGACUGGAGAGGAGAUUGGAAUUCACGGUGUAGCAGUGAAAUGCGUAGAUAUCGUGAGGAAGACCGGUGGCGAAGGCGGCGCACUGGACCACAACUGACGCUGAGGCGCGAAAGCUAGGGGAGCAAACAGG
rnacentral:rRNA from 1 species